GAGCCGCUAGCUCAUCAGGUAGAGCAUCGGCCUUUUAAGCCGAGGGUGCCAGGUUCGAGUCCUGGGCGGCUCACCA
rnacentral:tRNA from 1 species